AGUAUAAAUUACUUACACUUGACAUCUCAAAAAAUUGAUCGUCUUCCAUACAAGAGAAAUUAUAGCCAGAAUCAAUUUCAAUACGUAGCGUGGGCGUGGAGGAGCUAAUCCGGGCAGAAAUCGUGAUGGAUUCUUCAACGUCCAUGUGUAAUUUGACUGAGGUGUUCUAUUUUUCUUCUGGAAACCCUCGCAUCGAAGAAACUAGAGGCGUCAUGCAUCUCUUCUCCAACGAUGUUGCUUCUCACUUACCUGUGGAAAGAAAACCUCUCCUCUGUGUUCUAUGUGUUCCGAAUCACAUGACAUAUUCAGACUUUUGUCAGUUUUGUGGUUCAUUUGUUCAACAUAUGUUGGAAAUGCGAAUUGUCAGGAAUGAUGGUAUGGAAGAUUGUUACAGUAUAUUGAUCAGGUUUGAUGAGCAGAAAGCUGCAGAUACUUUUCACAAGCAUUUUAGUGGUAGAAGAUUUUCAUCUCUUGAGGAGGAGACGUGCGAUGUGCUAUUUGCUGCUGAUGUGCAUUACACCGGCUCAAUUGAGCACACUCAGUCAUUACCUGCAAGCUCUACAGAGCAACCAUUCUGUCCUGUUUGUCUCGAGAGAUUGGACCAGGAUACAAGUGGAAUUCUCACAACCAUUUGUAAUCAUUCCUUUCAUUGUUCAUGUAUUUCAAAAUGGACAGAUUCUUCAUGCCCCGUAUGCCGAUAUUGUCAGCAGCAGCCUGGAAACUCAACAUGUUCUAUCUGUCAAUCACCAGAAAAUCUAUGGAUGUGUGUUAUUUGUGGUUUUGUUGGGUGUGGAAGAUAUAAAGAGGCUCAUGCUACAAGGCACUGGAAGGAGACACAACAUUGCUAUGCACUUGAAUUAGAAACACGGCGUGUCUGGGACUACGCAGGGGAUAACUAUGUUCACCGUUUGAUUCAGUCUAAAACUGAUGGGAAGCUGGUUGAGCUCAACCACCAUGGUCAUCAUGAUAGUGAUGGCUGCUGCAGCUGCGAGUGUGGUACAGAUCCUGGGUUCAGCGAGACUAUUUUAAACAGCAAAGUUGAAGCUAUUGUGAACGAGUACAAUGAUCUCCUGACUUCCCAACUGGAGGAUCAAAAAAUGUACUUUGAGUCCUUAUUGCAAGAGGCUGAAGAAGAAAUUGAAAGGGAAACUAAGGAAGCUGUUGAGAAAGUUCUAUGCCAGAAUCCAAGGUUAAUGAAGUUAAAAGUUCGUUUGGACAAAUGCGUUGAAGAGAAGAAAUUCCAUGAUGACAUCAAUGACAAUCUUACGAGGAACAAGGAGAUAUGGGAAGCCAAGAUAUUGGAAAUUGAAGAAAGAAGGAUUCAUUCACUGUAACUUCUCUGACUAGGAUAUGAAAUAGCAACAUCACGUCAUAUAUAUAAUAAGAAAUAAACUCCAGGAAACACUGGGAGUUUCUCUUUCUCAUCAGAUAAUCAUAUUUUCUCAAGGUUCCAAAUUCCACAUAGGUAUAUAUUGUUUUCUUUUAAAAAAAUUCACCUCUUGACAUUAAACGAGGCUUCUAAUAAAUUUUAGAAUUGCUUCUUUCAGAUAUGUAUUGGUUUGGGAACUCGUUUUUGUUGCUUUGUGAUAACUGCUUCUCAAAGAUCUGGUUCUAAGAGAAGAAUAUGCCGCUAGUGCAAAAUUCUAGACUCGGGAGAAGGCGGCUUUGAAAAUGAAGGAUGAGGAGAUAUCCGAAUUGGAGGAACAGAUUGCCACUUUGAUGGAGUCCAUCGAUACAUAGAAUGAAUUUAAAGGGAUGUCAUAGCAAAUCAUGAAAUGAAGGACGAAGAUAACCUUUAACAUCAAACAAUUCCAUCGGAUUGACAGCCUACCUGGAGUGUAGAUGCAUCUGCAAAGCGCAGUGACAAAGAGACCUUGAAGUCGAGUGUCAAGGGAAAACAGCCUGGGAUCUUACACCAGUAUUGAUCAAAGUGCUAAAGUGAAAAUACAUUUUCCCUCCUCCACAGUACAAUAUUACUAGUCUAUAGAGUAACCUUGUGUAAAUUGUUUUGACAGUGCUUCAAACAACUAUAAACUUUAUUGCAAACAAAAGGUGAAUCAUAAUGCUGCAAUGUGAAAUUUACUUUUAGUUGGA